GGCGACUUGCCAGAGUGGUUAUCGGGUCAGUUUCGAAUUAGGUGCCCAGCAUCACGAGUCGUUAGCUGAUGUGCUUGCACGCACAGGUUCGAAUCCUGUAGUCGUCG